ensembl:lncRNA
AUGCUAAAAACAAGCAGCCCUGUUAACGCCAGCUCCAGCCCCACUGAACUGAAGGUUGGGGUAUUUACAGAUGUAGGAGACACCCCAGUCUCCAACAGAUGCGUGGUUUUUACAGAGGACCAUUUAUCAAGUUAUAUAAAUGGCGAGGAAGUUGCAACUUCAGAAGACACUAAUGAACAAGUACAAGAAGAACAAGAACUUUCAGUGACUCAUAAAAUUCAUGAAGACAAAAAGCCAGUUUCAGUAGGUGAGGAGGACGAAGACUCAGCUUCAGUCUCUCCUCAAUCAGAAGGAAAAAGGAUGAUUUUUGUAGAUGAGGAGGAUGAAGAACCAGCUUCAGUCAGUGAGGAGGAAGAAGACUCAGCUUCAGUCUCUCCUCAAUCAGAAGGAAAAAGGAUGAUUUUUGUAGAUGAGGAGGAUGAAGAACCAGCUUCAGUCAGUGAGGAGGAAGAAGACUCAGCUUCAGUCUCUCCUCAAUCAGAAGGAAAAAGGAUGAUUUUUGAAGAUGAGGAGGAUGAAGAACCAGCUUCAGUAGGUGAGGAGGACAAAGACUCAGCUGCAGUCUCUCCUCAAUCAGAAGGAAAAAGGAUGAUUUUUGUAGAUGAGGAGGAUGAAGAACCAGCUUCAGUCAGUGAGGAGGAAGAAGACUCAGCUUCCGUCUCUCCUCAAUCAGAAGGAAAUAAGAUGAUUUUUGUAGAGGAGGAGGAUGAAGAACCAGCUUCAAUAUCUUCUAGCCCAUCUCCAUCACUCUCUCAUGAUUCAGAUGGAGAUCCAGAAGCAAGUGAGACCAUUUCUGUAAACAAGGAGGACAAAGAGUCAGGUUCCUAUCCUGCUCAUUCAGAUGGAGAUUCAGGACAUAACAACAUUUUUUUAUUUGAGGAUGAAGAACCACCUUUAGUCUCUUAUUGUUCAGACAGAGAUUUAGGAUGGAAUAUCAGCCCUUCUGUAGCUGAUGAGGAACCACAGGAAUAUCAAGCUUCUCCUAAACUGGACUGCUAUUCAGAAAGAGAUUGUACCAUUUUUUCACAUGAAGAGGAAACGGAAGAGACAUUCAACUACAAGACAUAUGUCAAGCUGUUCAUAAGUAAGAUAGUUUGUCAAAUUUACACCAAAGCAAAUAUGAAACCUCAAAACAGUGAUGACCUCAUCGCGUACCUCUAUGAAUAUAUCUGGGAGAGAGUCAAAGAUGAAGAUAUAUGUAUCACUGAUGACUCAUUUAGGAAGAUGGACAAUAAAAUCCAAAAGAUCCUGCGCAAAGAGUUAGGCAAUCCAAACAAGGUUCUCUUCUUACUCAAGUACUCGGAGGAGCCAGUCGUUGCAGACUGCAUGGUCACCAUCUUGCGUAAACUCCUCAAGAGGCCAUCUAAAAAGAGUAACAGUUUCUCCAGGUUUUUCUCACAUAAGGCUCAGAAACUUUGGGAGUUUUUAACAUGUUGUAUUACGCCUGCUGCUGAUUGAUUACCAGAACAAACCACCAGCUCCUUCGAAAGAACCACCAGCCCCUUUGAAAGAACCACCAGCCCCUUUGAAAGAACCACCAGCUCCUUUGAAAGAACCACCAGUCCCUUCAAAAGAACCACCAGCCCCUUCAAAAGAACCAACAGCCCUUUUGGACCAACAGUUGUGAACCUGCUCUAUCUCUUUGGCAGUUGUGUUUACUGACUUGCACUCUUUUUGUACACUGUACAGGUUUGUUUGUUCUGCAGUUUCUUGUAGCAUUUCAUCAGUGACAAACUGUUUGAAAUACAUUAUUGGUGUCCAGUCACACCUGUCCUCUGUGCCUUCCUCAACACAUACAAUGAAAUCGACAGAUGGAGCUUGAUAUUAUAUUUUUCUCCAUCUGUAUUCUUUCCUUUUUGCUUUGCCCAUCACUGACUCCUUUCUGAUUGUGUCCUGUGUUGUUGUUGCGACCUCAACUUCUGUGCUUGUCUGGGCUACCCAAGUAGAGACCCAAGUCAGUAAUAGUCAAAUGGCUUUUACAACGGACCAUUUUAAGUAUUGGAAAUGAGACAAAAAUUGCAACUUCACAAGAUUCCUAUGAACAAAUACAAGAUGUGGUGAGUCAGGCAGAAGACUGAGAACUGAGAGGAGAGGAGGGGAGGGAAGAGGAGGGGAGGGGAGGGGAGAGGAGGGGAGAGGCAGCCAUGACCCAGGAAGGUGACAAGGGUCUAUCAGGUGAUCAUGUUUCUGGACCCCGGCAGCCUCUGCCUAUAGCAGCAUAACUAAGAUGCUAAUCUAAUAAUUAGAUGACCCUCUAAGUAUGAUAAUUUGUCUGUCUAGGACAGGGGUCGGCAUACCAAAAUGUUGAAAGAGCCAUUUUGGACCCAAAAACAAAUCUGUCUGGAACUGCAAAAAAUGAAGCCUUAUAUAAGCCUUAUCAUGAAGGCAAUAAAUGCUGUAAGAGUCUAUAUUAGCUAUAUUAGCCUACUUUCAAAACAAUAAGUAGACUACAAAUACAUAAUGAGCAUCCUGGGGAGAAUGACGCACCACAUGACUACUCUGCUGUACGAUGGUCCUUUAACCCUUUUGUAACGUUCAUAUUGUUGUUACUCAGCCAGCGUUUGUGGGUCUGAUUGACGUGUUGCAUUUUGUGGCUUUUAAUACCUCACAAUCGAACACUUUUAUGUUAAAAUACUGAACAGAUGUUUACCUUAUCCCAAUUACAAGCAGUAUAAACAAUAUAUAUGGUUAAUAUUUGCCCAUUACCUUUGUUAGGUCACAUUUAUAACUUAUUAUUUAAAACAUGAUAAAGAAAAUCAAUUAAAAUCAAGAUAUGAGUGGAAACAAAAUUACAAGUGAAGCAAGGUUUUAAUUAAUUAAUUUUAUCAUUUUUCUUUUAAUAAAAAGUGAAAACGGGUCCCACAGACCCGAACACCACACAUGGGUUAAGUUUAACUUACAUUGUAAUGAGAUGUUGAAAUUAAAAAAUCAUUAUACACAUUUUUACAACAUUGGAAAACUUUAAGAAUGUUUAUUAUGUUUUUCUUCCUAUCCAUCCAUCCAUCCAUCCAUUCUCUACCGCUUAUCCGGGGUCGGGUCGCGGGGGCAGCAGCCUAAGGAGAGAAGCCCAGACUUCCCUCUCCCCAGCUACCUCCUCCAGCUCAUCCGGAGGGAUCCCCAGGCGUUCCCAGGCCAGUCGAGAGACAUAGUCUCUCCAACGUGUCCUGGGUCUCCCCGGGGGUCUCCUACCGGAGGGACAUGCCCUGAACACCCCACCAGGGAGGCGUCCAGGGCGCAUCCUGACUAGAUGCCCAAGCCACCCCAUCUGGCUCCUCUCAACGCGGAGGAGCAGCGACUCUACUCCGAGCUCCUCCCGGAUGGCAGAGCUUCUCACCCUAUCUCUAAGGGAGAGCCCAGCCACCCUACGGAGGAAGCUCAUUUCAGCCGCUUGUACCCGUGAUCUUGUUCUUUCGGUCAUUACCCAAAGCUCAUGACCAUAGGUGAGGGUAGGAACGAAGAUCGACCGGUAAAUCUCUUCACCACAACGGACCGGUGCAGAGUCCGCAUUACUGUGGACGCCGCACCGAUCCGCCUGUCGAUCUCCCGCUCCAUUCUUCCCUCACUCGUGAACAAGACCCCGAGGUACUUAAACUCCUCCACUUGGGGCAGGAUCUCCUCCUUUACCCGGAGAAGGCACUCCACCUUUUUCCGGUCGAGAACCAUGGCCUC